rnacentral:tRNA from 1 species
GUAUACUUAGCAUAUACUAAUGCUUUUAGUUUCGACCUAAAUGAAAAGUUUUCUUAGUAUACC